GACGAACGCUGGCGGCGUGCUUAACACAUGCAAGUCGAACGGAAAGGCCCUGCUUUUGUGGGGUGCUCGAGUGGCGAACGGGUGAGUAACACGUGAGUAACCUGCCCUUGACUUUGGGAUAACUUCAGGAAACUGGGGCUAAUACCGGAUAGGAGCUCCUGCUGCAUGGUGGGGGUUGGAAAGUUUCGGCGGUUGGGGAUGGACUCGCGGCUUAUCAGCUUGUUGGUGGGGUAGGGGCUUACCAAGGCUUUGACGGGUAGCCGGCCUGAGAGGGUGACCGGCCACAUUGGGACUGAGAUACGGCCCAGACUCCUACGGGAGGCAGCAGUGGGGAAUAUUGCACAGUGGGCGGAAGCCUGAUGCAGCAACGCCGCGUGCGGGAUGACGGCCUUCGGGUUGUAAACCGCUUUCGCCUGUGACGAAGCGUGAGUGACGGUAAUGGGUAAAGAAGCACCGGCUAACUACGUG
rnacentral:rRNA from 1 species